AGAGUUUGAUCAUGGCUCAGAACGAACGCUGGCGGCAUGCCUAACACAUGCAAGUCGAACGACCCCGGAUCUCGGUCCGGGGUAGUGGCGCACGGGUGCGUAACGCGUGGGAAUCCACCCAAGGGUACGGAAUAACUCAGGGAAACUUGUGCUAAUACCGUAUGAUGCCGAAAGGCCAAAGAUUUAUCGCCCUUGGACGAGCCCGCGUAGGAUUAGCUAGUUGGUGGGGUAAAGGCCUACCAAGGCGACGAUCCUUAGCUGGUCUGAGAGGAUGAUCAGCCACACUGGGACUGAGACACGGCCCAGACUCCUACGGGAGGCAGCAGUGGGGAAUAUUGGACAAUGGGCGAAAGCCUGAUCCAGCAAUGCCGCGUGAGUGAAGAAGGCCUUCGGGUUGUAAAGCUCUUUUACCCGGGACGAUAAUGACGGUACCGGGAGAAUAAGCCCCGGCUAACUCCGUGCCAGCCGCCGCGGUAAUAC
rnacentral:rRNA from 1 species